rnacentral:rRNA from 1 species
GAUGAACGCUGGCGGCGUGCCUAAUACAUGCAAGUCGAGCGAACAGACGAGGAGCUUUCUCCUAUGACGUUAGCGGCGGACGGGAGAGUAACACGUGGAUAACCUACCUAUAAGACUGGGAUAACUUCGGGAAACCGGAGCUAAUACCGGAUAAUAUAUUGAACCGCAUGGUUCACUCGUGAAAGUCGGUUUUUCGUUCACUUAUAGGUUGAUCCGCGCCGCAUUCGCUAGUUGGUAAGGUAACGGGUUACCAAGGCGACGAUGCGUAUCCGACCUGAAAGGGGCAGCGGGCACACUGGAAGUGAGGCAGGUUCCACACUCUUGCGGGGGGCAGCAGUAGGGAAUCCUCCGGGAUGGGCGAAAGCGUGACGGAGCAAAGCCGCGUGAGGCAUGAAGGUCUUAUGAUCGUAAAACUCUGUUAUUAGGGAAGAACAAAAGUGCUAGUAACGAUGAACGUCUUGACGGUACCUAGUCAGAAAGCCACGGCUAACUACGUG